rnacentral:rRNA from 1 species
AUGUGGUCAAGAUCGUUAAGGGUGCAUGGUGGAUGCCUAGGCGUCCAGAGGCGAAGAAAGACGCGGCAGCCUGCGAUAAGCUCCGGGGAGUUGGCAAACAAGCGUUGAUCCGGAGAUGUCUGAAUGGGGCAACCCGAUCGGGCGGCGCAAGCCGACCCGACCACUCGCACAUGAAUUCAUAGUGUGCGGGAGCCGACCCAGGGAACUGACACAUCUUAGUACCUGGUGGAAAGGAAAUCAACCGAGACUCCGUCAGUAGCGGCGAGCGAAGGCGGACGAGCCCAAACCGGGUUUCGGCCCGGGGUUGCGGGUCCUCGAGGAGUUACAAAGGUGCGUUCAGCGGAACGGUCUGGAAAGGCCGACCAGAGCGGGUGACAGUCCCGUACGCGGUGAGCGGCACUCUCCGUUGAGAGGAUACCCAGAGUAGCACGGAGCUCGUGAAACUCCGUGCGAAGCCGGGGGGCCCACCCUCCAAGGCUAAGUACUCCUGGACGACCGAUAGUGUACCAGUAAGGCGACUGAAAGGUGAAAAGAACCGCAAUAAGCGGAGUCAAAAGAACCUGAAACCAUGCAUUUACAAGCAGUGGAAGACCGAUGGCCUUCGGGCCCCGGUCGACCGCGUACCUUUUGCAUAAUGGACCGGCGAGUUAGUCCUCUGUGGCAAGGCUAAGCCGCGAAGCGGUGGAGCCGUAGCGAAAGCGAGUCUGAACAGGGCGAAUGAGUCGCAGGGGCUAGACCCGAAGUUGAGUGAUCUACCCAUGGCCAGAUUGAAGCGUCCGUAAAAGGGCGCGGAGGAUCGAAGCCGUGAACGUUGAAAAGUUCUGGCAUGAGCUGUGGGGAGGAGUAAAAGUCUAAUCAAACUCAGCGAUAUCUGGUUCUCCCCGAAAUAGCUUUUGGGCUAGUCUCGGGCCACUACCCUGCGGGGGUAGAGCUACUGAAUGGAUCGCGGGGCCUACCCGGCUACCGCCUCCAAUCAAACUCCGAAUACCGCAGGGACUAUCCCGGGAAGCAGACUACGGGGGAUAACCUCCGUGGUCAAAAGGGAAACAACCCAGACCGCCAGCUAAGGUCCCAAAGCUCGACUAAGUGCUUAAGGAAGUCAGGUUUCUGUGACAGCGGGGAUGUUGGCUUAGAAGCAGCCACCAUUUAAAAAGUGCGUAAUAGCUUACCCGUCAAGAAACCCGGCACCGAUAAUGAACGGGACUAAGUCGUGCACCGAAGCUGCGGGUCCCGCGGGCAACCGCGGGGCGGUAGGGGAGCGCUGAUAGGCAGAUACGAGCCGUACCGAAAGGAGCGGUGCCGGGCCUAUCAGGUGAGUAUGCCGGUUUGAGUAACGAUAAAGCGUGUGAAAAUCACGCUCGCCGUAAGCCCAAGGUUUCCUGGGGAAGGGAAAUCCGCCCAGGGUUAGUCGGAGCCUAAGGCGAGGCCGAAAGGCGUAGUCGAUGGUCAGCAGGUUAAUAUUCCUGCACUCCGUACGAAGGUUGAGUUGCACGUGCGUUUGACAGAGCCGCAGCCCACCACGAGGUGAGGGUGGCCGCAAGGCCGAGGCCGACUGGUUGCCGAAGUGCGGGUAUGUCGAACCGAGAAAAGCGUGCAAGGACGACGUGCGGAUCCGUACCAAAACUGACACAGGUGGGCGAGGAGAGUAUCCUCAGGCGCUCGAGAGAACGGUCCUUAAGGAACUAGGCAAUGUCACCCCGUAACUUCGGGAGAAGGGGUCCCUCCCGCCGCGUAGCAAUACAGGCGGAGGGCGCAGAGAAACGGCUCUGGGAACUGUUUAUCAAAAACACAGGUCUCUGCUAACUCGCAAGAGGACGUAUAGAGACUGACGCCUGCUCGGUGCCGGAAUGUUAAGGGAGUCGGUCAGGGGGUUCGCCCCCGAAGCUGGCAACCGAAGCACCGGUUAACGGCGGCCCUAACUAUGAGGGUCCUAAGGUAGCGAAGUUCCUUGUCGGGUAAGUUCCGACGCGCAUGAAUGGCGUAAUCACUGGAGCCCUGUCUCAAGGACCGACUCGGUGAAAUAGGACUUGUGGUGAAGAUACCACAUACCCGCGGCAAGACGGAAAGACCCCGUGAACCUUCACUGUAACCUGGUACUGACGCCGCGUACUGCAUGCGUAGGAUAGGUGGGAGGCUUUGAUCCGCCGGUUUCGGCCGGCGGGGAGCCGUCGUUGAAAUACCACCCUUGUAUUAUGCGUCGUCUCACCCUGACCCAUGAAGCUGGGCAGGGGACCGUGCUAGGCGGGCAGUUUGACUGGGGCGGUCUCCUCCUAAAGAGUAACGGAGGAGUGCAAAGGUCGGCUCAGUCCGGUUGGCAAUCGGACGCAGAGUGCAAGGGCACAAGCCGGCUUAACUGCAACUUAUACACAAGGAGCAGACACGAAAGUGGGCCCUAGUGAUCCGGUGAUCCCGUGUGGAAGGGUCAUCGCUCAACGGACAAAAGGUACUCCGGGGAUAACAGGCUGAUCGCCACCGAGCGUCCAUAGCGGCGUGGCGGUUUGGCACCUCGAUGUCGGCCCAUCGCAUCCUGGGGCUGAAGGCGGUCCCAAGGGUUCGGCUGUUCGCCGAUUAAAGCGGUACGCGAGCUGGGUUCAGACCGGCGUGAGCCAGGUCGGUCCCUAUCUGCCGUGGGCGCAGCAAACGUGAGAGGCCAUAACCCUAGUACGAGAGGACUGGGUUGUACGAACCUCUGGUGCACCAGUUGUCCUGCUAAGGGCAGCGCUGGGUAGCUAUGUUCGGAAACGAUAAGCGCUGAAUGCAUCUAAGCGCGAAGCCGCCCUCGAGAUGACGUUUGCAUGCCCGCAAGGGCGAGAGGCCCCUCGAAGACCACGAGGUUGAUAGGCCGGAGGUGUAAGGGGAGAAAUCUCUUAAGCUGACCGGUACUAAAGGCCGAGCUCUUGACCACAU